AUUUGAAGAGCUUGCUCAGAUAUGACGAUGGACAUUGCAAAGAGUGGCGAACGGGUGAGUAACACGUGGGAAACCUACCUCUUAGCAGGGGAUAACAUUUGGAAACAGAUGCUAAUACCGUAUAACAAUAGCAACCGCAUGGUUGCUACUUAAAAGAUGGUUCUGCUAUCACUAAGAGAUGGUCCCGCGGUGCAUUAGUUAGUUGGUGAGGUAAUGGCUCACCAAGACGAUGAUGCAUAGCCGAGUUGAGAGACUGAUCGGCCACAAUGGGACUGAGACACGGCCCAUACUCCUACGGGAGGCAGCAGUAGGGAAUCUUCCACAAUGGGCGAAAGCCUGAUGGAGCAACGCCGCGUGUGUGAUGAAGGGUUUCGGCUCGUAAAACACUGUUGUAAGAGAAGAAUGACAUUGAGAGUAACUGUUCAAUGUGUGACGGUAUCUUACCAGAAAGGAACGGCUAAAUACGUGCCAGCAGCCGCGGUAAUACGUAUGUUCCAAGCGUUAUCCGGAUUUAUUGGGCGUAAAGCGAGCGCAGACGGUUAUUUAAGUCUGAAGUGAAAGCCCUCAGCUCAACUGAGGAAUUGCUUUGGAAACUGGAUGACUUGAGUGCAGUAGAGGAAAGUGGAACUCCAUGUGUAGCGGUGAAAUGCGUAGAUAUAUGGAAGAACACCAGUGGCGAAGGCGGCUUUCUGGACUGUAACUGACGUUGAGGCUCGAAAGUGUGGGUAGCAAACAGGAUUAGAUACCCUGGUAGUCCACACCGUAAACGAUGAGUGCUAGGUGUUUUGAGGGUUUCCGCCCUUAAGUGCCGCAGCUAACGCAUUAAGCACUCCGCCCGGGGGAGUACGACCGCAAGGUUGAAACUCAAAGGAAUUGACGGGGACCCGCACAAGCGGUGGAGCAAGGUGGUUUAAUUCGAAGCAACGCGAAGAACCUUACCAGGUCUUGACAUCCCUUGACAACUCCCGAAAAUGGAGCGUUCCCUUCGGGGACAAGGUGA
rnacentral:rRNA from 1 species